ACUCCUGCGGGAGGCAGCAGUGGGGAAUAUUGCACAAUGGGCGCAAGCCUGAUGCAGCGACGCCGCGUGGGGGAUGAAGGCCUUCGGGUUGUAAACUCCUUUCGCUAGGGACGAAGCUUUUUUGUGACGGUACCUAGAUAAGAAGCACCGGCUAACUACGUGCCAGCAGCCGCGGUAAUACGUAGGGUGCGAGCGUUGUCCGGAAUUACUGGGCGUAAAGGGCUCGUAGGUGGUUUGUCGCGUCGUCUGUGAAAUUCUGGGGCUUAACUCCGGGCGUGCAGGCGAUACGGGCAUAACUUGAGUGCUGUAGGGGUAACUGGAAUUCCUGGUGUAGCGGUGAAAUGCGCAGAUAUCAGGAGGAACACCGAUGGCGAAGGCAGGUUACUGGGCAGUUACUGACGCUGAGGAGCGAAAGCAUGGGUAGCGAACAGGAUUAGAAACCCGGGUAGUCCCA
rnacentral:rRNA from 1 species